CUUCUCAUUUUGGAACUGUUGUGUCUCUUCAACAUGGGAAAAGUGCUUCCUACUUCAAAAUCUGUUUAAUUUCUAAUUUUUUUUUCCCUUCCCAAAGGCUAGGUCUGGGCCCGUGCCUUCCUCAUCAGCAUGCCUAUUAAUGUUGUCAAGACUGAGGACAUGAGGAGGAUGAGGUGUUUUUCACAACAGUGAAAAAUGCCAGUACAAGGAUUGAGACCAAAAGUGACCAGACUUCAGAUAAAGAAGGAAUAGGAAAGUUGCUGAGGUCUCCAGACAGGUGUCUGGUAACAGUCCCACCAAGGUGGAAGUGAAAGUGUCUCACAACUCAGCCUCUUGUCCCUAGUACCUUUGGAGGCAGCUUCCACCAUGACACAUCCCAUAUUUGCCUCUCCAGGUAAGACUGGGAUAUCAGUAUGAGGACUGGGCUAAUUUUUACUUCUUUUGACAUACAGUAAUUGCUGUAUCUAUGAUACAGUAUAUUUAUGUAAUUUAUUGAAGGAUAAUGCUGAAGAAAGGGAUGUCAGAUGCUGUGCUGGUGUUUAGAAAACCGACCACUAAUCUAGUGUUUUCCAACAAGCCACCCUGAGUUACAGCAUGGAAUAGAAAUUGUCUCAAAAAAGUAUGAGACUGCUUGCAUCAUUCUCUGAAGGGUCUAGUGCUGGUAUUUUAGACACUAGUGUGACUGGCUGCGUAGAAAACAUUGAUCACCAGUGCAGCCUUGAGAGAAGGUUGAAUGAAUUCAUGGACGAGAAAACCCCCUGAGAGCUACUGAAUACACAGAAAACCAGUCUGGCUCAGGAUGUGUCUGGGCUGCAAAGGCUGUAAAGUACUUGGAGGAGAGGGGAGAUGUUGCUUGUGCUUCUCUGGUCUCAUGCUUGCUUCUCGUUCCAACAUCAGCUUUUGGGCGUUGGCAUUGGCUGCUCUUGUUUCAUUACGCUUUUAUUUACUGUUGGAAGGAGAUGAAGACUGGAAGCUGCCAAGGACACUGACUGCAGGCACUGAGAGACCUCUCUUUCCUGAGGGUUGGAUGCAGCACAGAAUUGACAGACCUGCAGCUGCCCAAGUAAGCCUGUUUCAUAUCCAGAACGAAUUUUCCAGAGUGCCUAAAUGGCUUGAAACUCCAGGUUCUGUUGGCCAAAAUCAAGUGACUUGCAUAUAUUGAGAAACUUCUUCCGGUUAGCUUUCUCUCUCUUUGUCUCUCUACCUGUGUUUGAGCAUUUUCAAUUAUGUAGAAAUCUAUCAUUAAGCUCCACUUCUUUACAUUUAAGCAGGCAAGGAACAGGGAUCUUCAAACUUUGAGAGAACUGCAGAAUACUUUGAAAUAUUUUAACGUGAACCACUCUUUCUGUGAUAGAAAAACACAUAUUUUCUUGUUAAUUCUGAGUCACGUUAGCUGGUACUGGUAACUUUGUACCCACAAGCAUAGCACACUAGGUGGAUAGACUGCAGCAAAAUGAGGUAUAUGUUGCAUUUAGAAGCAAGUAUCACCUUAAAAAAAUUUACCUGUCUGCCAAGACUUGGCAAAAUGAGAAAGUUCAUCUCAGUACACAGAGCAGUUCCUGCCUGCCUGACUCUCCUCAUGGCUGCUGGGAAUGCCUGGCGUGUCAGGUAACACAUGCUGAGCAACAGUCAAAAAGCCCUUCGUUUCUUGUAAAGGUGAAAUAAGCUCCUUAUUGAAAAAAAGCUAUUUCCAAAGCUAUUACAGCUGUGGCUGAUGCUGUAGCCGUGCUUCUCAGCCCAGGAGCCUGCCAGGGAACAGCUUUAAAUAGUUUCAGUAGGUAACACGCAUAACAGGGACUCCUCAAUCCCAGAGAGAGAGGUCCAGCUGCCUUGUGCCAGAGCAUCCUACCUUUCGUUACACCUUCAUUACCUAAACAACACAAACUAACAGCCAACAUUAACAUGAAACAAGCAACAAUAAAAUAUACCUAUUUAAUUGUUCACAGUCUGCUAAGUCAGGAGGACCCCUGGGACACCCUGCACUGUUUUGACCUCCAGUUCACUCCCAGCUCGUUUGCAGCUCUCCUGUUUCAUGCUGGGAGAUCUUUCAGUUUUGGCUUUGCCUUGCCUACUACAUCUGCAGUGUAGGUGCUGUUCUAUCCUAGUGUUACUGCAGUGGCUGCCCUUUCCUAAGGAAGAGGGAUGAUUUUUUGAGGCUGUGGUGAUCUGCUGUGACAGGUGGCUGUCUGAUCUCUCAGACAGGAGGUCUCAACUAGCAAAGCCUCCUGUCUGUUCAAGACCUUACAAGCUAAAUGUCUUCGUAACCUUCUCCCCUUGGGCUUAAGGGUGGCAUCAGGUGCUGAGGCUCUUUCACCACUACAAGUUUUAUAACAUCUGUCCAAUGUCAUGGAUUAUAACAAUAAAUGACACCACUUAUUAAAAAAUAUCUCCAGGAUUUUUCCAGAUUUUUCAACAGUUUCCAGAUUUCCUGUGCCUGUCUAUACAUCUCUAGAAAUGACAAGUGAUGUGAUUUUGACAUUGAGGAUUCGUCUGAAGCUGGUACAGAGACUGGUAAGAGACUGCCCUAACCCUCUGGGGCCGGAAGCAUUUGAACUGAAAGUGGAGAGGCUAUAGAAGGGUCAGACAGAUGUGUAUGAUCUCACUUUCCUCUGUGUUUCAUGGGACUUUUUGCACAACUGGCAAUUACAGAUAUACCCCUCAAACUCACACCAAGCUUCUGACCUGUUGUCACACACUAUUUUAUGCAGCAUAUCAUGUCCAACAUGUCUGUAAUGUCUUCUGACUUAUUCAGAUCCAGCUCUGUCUCCUGCUUUUUUAAAAUUUGCUCCCGGGAAUUUCUCUUAGGCAGACUUUUUCUUUCAUUAUUCAGGCUCCAAUCUGAUUUCACCACUGUUUUGCUCCACAUCAAAACCUGCAACCCCUUUACACUUAAGGCUUGCAAAAGCCUAGAAAGCUGCUCCAAGGCAGCUGGUCUCUGUGGAGCUGGGGCAAUGAGCUGGGGUGACUGUACAUGUUUCUGUUAUUAAAGCAAACCGACCUGUCCAGUUUGUUUGGCUUUUUUGCUGUGGUUUGUUUUUUUAGGUUUUUUUGUUUUUUGGUUUUUUUAACCCCAGGGGUCAGGCUGGGCUAUCUCCCU